AUUAUAUUUGUUGAAGUAGUCACCAUUUCUAAGAAAACCCUACAUCUGGUCUUUUUAGUUUUCUCAAGCACUGAAGACAGACCAUAAACAGUAGACAGGCAACGUUGGCUUCGGAGUUUUCAGUUAUAGGGUAACACUGCUAGCAUGCGGAUUUGGACCAGCUCAAAUUGUAUUCUUACUUAUAAUUACAUUUCUGUAUUAAAAUAUAUUUUCUACCUUACAA